rnacentral:lncRNA from 1 species
CGAUCUCAGGUACGGUCUCCCUCACUGCAAGCCAAAGACAAAGGAAUACUGAGAAAUGAAGGGAUAACUGUUAUUUUAAUCAGUUCUGCUUACAUUGUUCUUAUUUCUGAAAAUGUUACAUUCUGUUACAGCAAAAAUUUGGUGUUGGGACUAACAGUGCUCACCAGAUAAUAGAUAGGUACAAGAUCCCAGAAGAGAGAGGUAGGACAGAGAUAUCUGAUGAUGCAGACCACCAAUAAGAAGCAUAUC